ensembl:lncRNA
GAACACUCUGCCUCUUCUUCAGGUUGCUGGCUUCAACAAAUGCCCUGCACACAAGAUAAGCACAGUGACAUCAAACAAACAGAGAAAAUAUGGCCCAAAUUGAAAGCAUCCAGAUCUCUAUAAGCCAUACAUUUUUACAUUACCCCAUACUGAACAUAACUGUGGACACCUCGUAAAAAUAAUCAGAAAAUAUUCACUAUGGUAUUUUCAUCUGUGCAACCAGACUCACCUGGCGUGCUGGACACAAUGGAGGUUGAAGGUGACGCUGCCUGUGGUCUGUAUGCGGAAGCCAAAGCGACUCAGUCUCUCUCCCUACUGUACAUAGACAGAGUCCAGGGGUUGCUGGGAGAGGGUCAGAAGGGAAGGAGCAACGACCAUCUCUUUCAAAUGCCAGCGCGAAUCCUGGAAGGAGCUUCAUUGCAGCGAUUGGACUGCAUGGAGUCAAUCAUCAUCUCUAGUGAACAAUUUCAGGUGAUAGUUCCAACAGACGAAGAAAACUUGACUCUAGAAAAGUGUUUUUCCAUGAGAGGACUACACAUUCUUCAUCUCAAUGUUAGAAGUCUUCUCCCCAAGAUUGAGGAACUUCGCCUACUCUCUAGUAACUGAAAGGAUGGCCAGCCACACAGGAGCAUGAUAUUUACAAAGGAGGAGAAGGAGGCCGUGCUGACCGAGAUGCAUGCUGGCCAUUUCAGAGUGAAGCGCAUGAUUGCCAAAAUCAACCUACACGUUUUUUUGACGGGGAAUUGUCGAGGAGUUGGACAGCUGUGUCAGUACCCUGUUUAGCCUACCAGAAGUUUGAGAGGGUGAAGACUGUGGCGCUGGAGUUGAAGCCCAUCAAAGUUGUUUCACCAUGGCACAUAAACGAGGACCUGAGCCCUAGGACCAAGCCUCAGGACUACCUGGCCUGAUGACUCCUUGCUGUCCCCAG